UUCGAAAUUUCCUAGGAUUGAUGAUUGUGCAAGUAAUGACUUGAGUUAUGCUAAAUCGAAAUAUAAAAAUCGACAUAAAAUGCAGGAACAGCUAUGCGCGUUACGAUUCGGGAAACGCGAUGAAAGAGGGAAGGAUUUGGUUUGUUAAGCAACCCAGGGAACCUUGGAAAGUUCGAGUCAUCAACUUAAUUCAUCUGAUUCUGUCAGAAUAUAGGAAAGAUAAUAGUGAUUUGUAAAAACGUGACGAAAGAGCCCCUGUGAUGCAUGCAACACGACCUGCGCAACUGUGAGCAUGAUUGCAGCGCCACGGAGUCAGCGCAUGCAUAGAUUUCCCAACUCUGAUCCCGUGAAUUCGCGGAAUAUUAAUACUUAAAAUUUAGAGGAAGAGGAGAAGAAGUUGUUACCUGCAACAGAAAGAAUUUCGAAUAAUUACAAAAUUGUAAUGUAUCAGCUUCGCUAUAUCAGAGCAAAAAAUACUUAUUACAGGUAAAUUUUGACUAAUAAUAAAUAUCCAAUCUGUUGGGAAUUGGUUUAGCAACCAACACUAUGUACGUAUACAAUGUAUUUCAUAGUUUAAUUUCAUCAAUUAUUUUGUGGUCAUAAUUAAGAAAAAGAUGUAUGACAUUUUUUAGAAAAUUAUGACGAAAAUACAAAACACUGCAAGGCACUGGAUAUUUAAAGGUCAACUCAGUGACUGAAACACCCAUUUACAUCUACGUACAUAACUAUCAAAACAUCCGACCAAAUAUGUAUCGAUUUGUAUUUCGAUGAACGCAUGAUAUCUUGAUCAACGCAAUUCUAAGGAAAAGAUAGACACCCAGAGGAGUCAGAUCCGUUUUCACCGCUCACAUUAACGGGGACGGGCAGCUAACAGAUGUUAUCGGCUCGCAUGCGUCUUCCGAUGGAGCGCGAUUCACAAGGCAAAAGUUAGAAAGCAUGGCUCCGUCCGCGCUUCCGAAACGUUCGGGAGAGAUUCUCCUCUGGAUAAGCGUUGCAUUCGAGCAUACACGAGCCGACGUAUUUUCGUCAGUUCUCGAUUUCACGCGAGUCGCGCGGUACCAUCAAGAAGAAGAAGAAGAAGAGCUCGACCUCUCGUCACCAUCGAUUUAUUACUCAACUUUCAAGGCGGAUUUCCUCCACCUGUGCGUACGCAUAUCGUAAUUCAGCGGUUAACACAUCGCAUCGCCAUGUAAUUACGACGGCUUAAGACAGAUUUAUUGGAUCCUAGAGGCUACUGACGUAAAUAUGAAAAUACCUUUACGACGUUCAUAUCAACUGGCUGACGUUUGUGUGGGUAUAUGUGGCUCUUAAAUAGGGAAAAAGCGUAGGAAUUGGAAAAAUGUAACAAGCCUCUCGCAAGCUAAAUUGAGCAACGCUAUUUUGUACCAAUUUCUCUAUUUGGCUUUCAAGAAUAAUUUACUUGUACAACAUGACAGUACAUUCUAAGAUUUACCUUUAAAAUUCACAAUUUGCUUAAUUUUGGAGCUUCGUGAAGCUGAUCAAUAUUGAACAAUAGCUUAUAUUAUGUAUAUAAAAAUAUAAAAUUAGCAUAUUUCUGACUUGCUCUCCCAAUUUUAAUGAGCAAUGUGUUUAUUUUAACUCUUUCAAGUUUAAUAUAAUCUAGCUUGAUGUAUUCAAAUCUAAUCUAGCUCAAUUCUAGCAAUCUAAUCUAACGCAACGAGAUCAAGAGUUGAAAUUCCACGAAUGGACAAGUGAGUUUCUUAACGAAAAGCGAGGAGCACAACGUUCUUACACGAAUUGCAGGAAAAUCACAGGCAGUGAAAGGACAGGGCAGAGCCAGAUCGACAACCAGAGGCGAGGUAAACGCCGUGCAUGUAAAUUGUUCUGCGGGUGUACUUUCUACAAAUUCAUUGUUAUGUUGUUUCUGAGGCGUCGAGCCUGCGUGUGAGAUCCGCAGGAGCACGAGAUAACGGUGUGUAACGAGGACAUUCUCGAAAGGACGCGAAAUGCAAUCUCGGUGCCAACCGAACAAAUUGUCUGAGAACAGUGUCGUUCUCAGAGCUGGGCCAGAGAGCCUGCCAUCACUGCCUGUAAUUAAUCGUAAUUACGAGUAAUUAGCCAGAUCCACCGAGACUCUUGCGCAAUCAGAUCCCAGCUGUUUUGCUAUGCAAAACUUUGAAAAUGCAUGAAUGAAGAAGCAAAGGAUGUUUGACUUUUUCGUGAUUACAACGGAAGCUUUGAAAGCAACUGAAGAUGUAGAAUCACAGUGUUUGUGACUUUAAGAUGAUCAAUAUGAACAUUCCUUUGAACUCAGUAAUUAAAGAUUCAGAGUCUUCUUACACAUUCGGAA